GAUGAACGCUGGCGGCGUGCCUAAUACAUGCAAGUCGAGCGAACAGAUGAGGAGCUUGCUCCUCUGACGUUAGCGGCGGACGGGUGAGUAACACGUGGAUAACCUACCUAUAAGACUGGGAUAACUUCGGGAAACCGGAGCUAAUACCGGAUAAUAUAUUGAACCGCAUGGUUCAAUAGUGAAAGACGGUUUUGCUGUCACUUAUAGAUGGAUCCGCGCCGCAUUAGCUAGUUGGUAAGGUAACGGCUUACCAAGGCAACGAUGCGUAGCCGACCUGAGAGGGGGAUCGGCCACACUGGAACUGAGACACGGUCCAGACUCCUACGGGAGGCAGCAGUAGGGAAUCUGCCGCAAUGGGCGAAAGCCUGACGGAGCAACGCCGCGUGAGUGAUGAAGGUCUUCGGAUCGUAAAACUCUGUUAUUAGGGAAGAACAAAUGUGUAAGUAACUAUGCACGUCUUGACGGUACCUAAUCAGAAAGCCACGGCUAACUACGUG
rnacentral:rRNA from 1 species